AGAGUUUGAUCAUGGCUCAGAUUGAACGCUGGCGGCAGGCCUAACACAUGCAAGUCGAACGGUAACAGGAAGCAGCUUGCUGCUUUGCUGACGAGUGGCGGACGGGUGAGUAAUGUCUGGGAAACUGCCUGAUGGAGGGGGAUAACUACUGGAAACGGUAGCUAAUACCGCAUAACGUCGCAAGACCAAAGAGGGGGACCUUCGGGCCUCUUGCCAUCGGAUGUGCCCAGAUGGGAUUAGCUAGUAGGUGGGGUAAAGGCUCACCUAGGCGACGAUCCCUAGCUGGUCUGAGAGGAUGACCAGCCACACUGGAACUGAGACACGGUCCAGACUCCUACGGGAGGCAGCAGUGGGGAAUAUUGCACAAUGGGCGCAAGCCUGAUGCAGCCAUGCCGCGUGUAUGAAGAAGGCCUUCGGGUUGUAAAGUACUUUCAGCGGGGAGGAAGGGAGUAAAGUUAAUACCUUUGCUCAUUGACGUUACCCGCAGAAGAAGCACCGGCUAACUCCGUGCCAGCAGCCGCGGUAAUACUGAGGGUGCAAGCGUUAAUCGGAAUUACUGGGCGUAAAGCGCACGCAGGCGGUUUGUUAAGUCAGAUGUGAAAUCCCCGGGCUCAACCUGGGAACUGCAUCUGAUACUGGCAAGCUUGAGUCUCGUAGAGGGGGGUAGAAUUCCAGGUGUAGCGGUGAAAUGCGUAGAGAUCUGGAGGAAUACCGGUGGCGAAGGCGGCCCCCUGGACGAAGACUGACGCUCAGGUGCGAAAGCGUGGGGAGCAAACAGGAUUAGAUACCCUGGUAGUCCACGCCGUAAACGAUGUCGACUUGGAGGUUGUGCCCUUGAGGCGUGGCUUCCGGAGCUAACGCGUUAAGUCGACCGCCUGGGGAGUACGGCCGCAAGGUUAAAACUCAAAUGAAUUGACGGGGGCCCGCACAAGCGGUGGAGCAUGUGGUUUAAUUCGAUGCAACGCGAAGAACCUUACCUGGUCUUGACAUCCACGGAAGUUUUCAGAGAUGAGAAUGUGCCUUCGGGAACCGUGAGACAGGUGCUGCAUGGCUGUCGUCAGCUCGUGUUGUGAAAUGUUGGGUUAAGUCCCGCAACGAGCGCAACCCUUAUCCUUUGUUGCCAGCGGUCCGGCCGGGAACUCAAAGGAGACUGCCAGUGAUAAACUGGAGGAAGGUGGGGAUGACGUCAAGUCAUCAUGGCCCUUACGACCAGGGCUACACACGUGCUACAAUGGCGCAUACAAAGAGAAGCGACCUCGCGAGAGCAAGCGGACCUCAUAAAGUGCGUCGUAGUCCGGAUUGGAGUCUGCAACUCGACUCCAUGAAGUCGGAAUCGCUAGUAAUCGUGGAUCAGAAUGCCACGGUGAAUACGUUCCCGGGCCUUGUACACACCGCCCGUCACACCAUGGGAGUGGGUUGCAAAAGAAGUAGGUAGCUUAACCUUCGGGAGGGCGCUUACCACUUUGUGAUUCAUGACUGGGGUGAAGUCGUAACAAGGUAACCGUAGGGGAACCUGCGGUUG
rnacentral:rRNA from 1 species